rnacentral:rRNA from 1 species
CGGGCGAGGCGCCGGUCUAAGUCCCUUGGAACGGGGCGUCAUAGAGGGUGAGAAUCCCGUAUGCGACCGGCGACCGAGUCCACGUGAAACUCCUUCGACGAGUCGAGUUGUUUGGGAAUGCAGCUCAAAAUGGGUGGUAAAUUUCAUCUAAAGCUAAAUACCGGCCAGAGACCGAUAGCGCACAAGUAGAGUGAUCGAAAGAUGAAAAGCACUUUGGAAAGAGAGUCAAAAAGUACGUGAAAUUGUUGAAAGGGAAGCGCUUGCAACCAGACCUGCCCGCGGGUGAUCAACCGUCCUUCUGGGCGGUGCACUCGCCCGUGAUCAGGCCAGCAUCGGUUCGGGCGGCCGGAUAAAGACCUUGGGAACGUAGCUCCUCUCGGGGAGUGUUAUAGCCCUCGGUGCAAUGCGGCCAGCCUGGACCGAGGACCGCGCUUCGGCUAGGAUGCUGGCGUAAUGGUUGUAAGCGGCCCGUCUUGAAACACGGACCAAGGAGUCUAACAUCUAUGCGAGUGUUUGGGUGUCAAACCCAUACGCGUAAUGAAAGUGAACGGAGGUGGGAACCCUUUACGGGGCGCACCAUCGACCGAUCCAGAUGUCUUCGGAUGGAUUUGAGUACGAGCAUAAAUGUUGGGACCCGAAAGAUGGUGAACUAUGCCUGAAUAGGGUGAAGCCAGAGGAAACUCUGGUGGAGGCUCGCAGCGGUUCUGACGUGCAAAUCGAUCGUCAAAUUUGGGCAUAGGGGCGAAAGACUAAUCGAACCAUC